GCGUCUGUGGUGCAAGGGAUGGAGCACGCGCCCCCGGAUUGGGUGGAAUGCGGGUUCAAGUCCCUUCUGAAGCA